rnacentral:rRNA from 1 species
AUUGAACGCUGGCGGCAUGCCUUACACAUGCAAGUCGAACGGUAACAGGUCUUCGGAUGCUGACGAGUGGCGAACGGGUGAGUAAUGCAUCGGAACGCGCCCAGUAGUGGGGGAUAGCCCGCCGAAAGCCGGAUUAAUACCGCAUACGAUCUGAGGGUGAACGGGGGGGAUCGCAAGACCUCUCGCUAUUGGAGCGGCCGAGGUCAGAUUAGCUCGUCGGUGGGGUAAAGGCCUACCAAGGAAACGAUCUGUAGUUGGUCUGGGAGGACGACCAGCCAAACUGGGACUGAGACACGGCCCAGACUCCUACGGGAGGCAGCAGUGGGGAAUUUUGGACAAUGGGCGCAAGCCUGAUCCAGCAAUGCCGCGUGCAGGAAGAAGGCCUUCGGGUUGUAAACUGCUUUUGUCAGGGAAGGAAUCUUCUGGGUUAAUACCUCGGGAGGAUGACGGUACCUGAAGAAUAAGCACCGGCUAACUACGUGCCAGCAGCCGCAGUAAGAC